rnacentral:misc_RNA from 1 species
CCGAGUUAUACAACUCCCAAACCCCUGUGAACAUACCUAUACGUUGCUUCGGCGGGACGACUGCCCCAGUGUAAGCAACGGGGACCCAGGCGCCCCGCCAGGAGGACCCCUAACUCUUGUUUUAUAUAUGUAUUCUUCUGAGUAAACAAGCAAAUAAAUUA